UAAGAAUGAGGUUUUGCUCUCAAGCCUGUUCGGGUCGGGUCGUUCUGAGAGGAAUGGCCACCCGUUCUCCUUGAUCGCAGCGGAGCUGAUGAUUUUUCACACCACAUCUCUCUAAAACUCUCUCUCUCUCUCUCUCUCUCUAUCUCUAUCUCGCAUGUUGCUUUUAUCUAGUCUAUAUAUAUUUCUAUAUAAAAAGUGUGUAGCUCAGAGGCGGUGAUGAUGUUUUGAGCCCUGAAAAUCAGGCAACGAGAAGGAUCUAGUUGCCUGGCGGCCGUCGCCGGUCACAGCCAUUGGUAGCGGCCUUUCUCGUUGCCUGAAUGACUGGUAACUCUGAGCCUGUUGCCUUCCACAAUGUUGUUUUUAUUAAUAUAUUUAUGGGAAAUUUGAGCAUCUAUGCUUCGAAAUACUCUUUCGGAUUAAUAAGCCCUAAAUCCUUAUUCCUCGUUUUGUAAACCUAACAGUGAUGAUAAUCUCCGUGCAUCAGGCAGAGGGAGAAGAAGAUUCAGUUGCUUGGCUGGCCGACUCGGAUUCUCCGUCGGAAAAUGUAUGGUUUAGUCUUUUUCCAAGAAGUGCUCCGGCGUCGUUCUCAGCCAUAGAUGUGGGCUAGCCCCCGAGCUCAUUUGCCACUGCUUAUGGAACUGCUCUUACGUGGAAAAAGCUUGGGUCUGUUAUGACUAUUAUGAGAAGAUGGAAUUUAAAGCCAGUUAGGACCAAAUGGGGUUUGUUGUAUCAGGUUUCUUCGCUGCUGACCACUAAAGAGUUUGAACAUUUUGUUGUGAUGUCCUGGCAUGUAUGUAAUCUCUUGCUGAGUGGUCUCAAGAUUUGCUGAUGGAGUUUCAAAAUACUGCCUCCGAAGAAUAUCAAAUGGACUCCGCUGCCCUGCCUGAGAGUUUCGUCAAAAUAAAUACUGAUGCUGCCAUUGGCAACCAUGGCUCUUCGUAUGGUGUCGAGAUUCAAACGGUGUAGUCUUUGGGGCUGCUUAUGAUUGGCACCAGCUUCCUCAGUCUGUUAAUGCAGCUGAAGCUUAAGGGCUAUGUCUUGGUGCUCGGUUGGCCAAGAAGCUGAAUAUCUCUAAUGUUGUGCUUGAGUCAGACUGCCUGAGUCCAACAACCAAGCUUAUUUGAGGGAUGUUUUGUUUGUUCUUUUUUAUUGUAACUUUGCUGGUUUUUCUCAUGUGAGGCCAGAGGGUAAUGCCGCUACUCACUCUUUAGCUAACUAAAAUGGCCUCUUUGUCGAAGUCAUCUUGUUGUUGGUGGAUACUGAUAGGGGUUUCUCCCCUGUGUGAGUCAUGCUGUCAAAGUUGAUUUUCCUCAUCACAUUUUGUAGCUCUGCUCUGUUAAUUAAUGCAGUUUCAUUUAAAAUAAUAAUAACUAUUAUUAUAAACAUAGUA